AAAACUAGAACUUUCCGGAGUGGUAAAUGAGCAUUACCUUUGGCCACUGACCUUAGCCCCACACAAGCGAGCCAGCCUCUCCCUGGAAGUUCUGGAAGCAGUUGUCCGGUGUUGACUUUUCCUCUCGAGCUGUGCAGGUCCCAGAUGGCAUCUUCCAAUAUAAGGCUGCUUAGUUCUGCACCCAAACUCUGUUCUUUGGUGUAGCCACCUUCACGGGUGAUCUUAGCUAGCUCUUCUGGGUGGCUGGCUGCAGUUUCCACGCCGGCACCUGCUGCUGCAUUUUGUACUUUUAGGUCACAGCGAUUGCUUCUUUCCUUCAGCCUCAUCACAAAACCUCUGCUAGCUUCAAACGUUUCUUCUGCAGUUGUCUCAUCUCUCUUAUCCUGCAUAGACUUGAGCACAGUUAAGGCUUUGCUCUGGCUUAGACUUUGCUUUAACAGAAUGCUGUGGUGGGGCUGAUCUUCUAUCCGGACCACUCAUCUUUCUCCACACCAGCAGUGAGGCUGUUUUGCCUUCUUAGCAUCCAUUUGUGUGUUCACUGGAAAACUGCAUUUAAUUUCCUUCAAGAGUUUUUCCUUUGCAUUCGAACCUUGGCUAACUUUUCAGUGCAAGAGGCCGAGUCUUUUAUUUUGUUUUGGUUUGGUUUGGUUUGGUUUGGUUUAUUUUAUUUUAUUUUAUUUUAUUUUAUUUUAUUUUAUUUUAUUUUAUUUGACAGGUAGAAUUACACAGAGAGGGAGAGGCAGAGAAAGGUCUUCCAUCUGUUGAUUCACUCCCCAAAUGACCAUGGUGGCUGGAGCUGGGUUGAUCUGAAACCAGGAGCCAGGAGCCUCCUCCAGGUCUCCCAGGCAGGUGCAGGGGCCCAAGCACUUGAGCCACCUUAGGCUGCUUUUCCAUGCCAUAAGCAGAGAGCUGGAUCGGAAGAGGAGCAGCCAGGACAGGAAUCAGCACCCAUAAGGGAUGCCAGCGCUGUAGGUUGAGGCUUAGCCUACUAAGCCACACCGCAGGUCCCCAAGAGCCCGAGUUUUGAUCUGUGUCAUCUUUUGUCAGGUCUUCUUCACUCAGCUUUUGAUUUAAAGUGAGAGAUGUAUGACUGCUUUCUUCACCUGAACACUCAGAGUCUAUUGGGGGGUUAUUAACUGACCUAAUGUCAUUGUGUCUCAGGGAGUAGGGAUGCCCAAAGAGAGGGAAAGAGAUGGGUGAGUAGCUAGUUGAUCAGGACAGCAGUUAGAAUACAUACAGGAGGCUGGCGCUCCGGCUCACUAGGCUAAUCCUCCGCCUUGUGGCGCAGGCACACCGGGUUCUAGUCCGGUCAGGGUGCCGGAUUCUGUCCUGGUUGCCCCUCUUCCAGGCCAGCUCUCUGUUGUGGCCCGGGAGUGCAGUGGAGGAUGGCCCAAGUGCUUGGGCCCUGCACCCCAUGGGAGACCAGGAGAGGCACCUGGCUCCUGCCAUCGGAUCAGCGCGGUGCACCGGGCGGCCGCGGCGGCCAUUGGAGGGUGAACCAACGGCAAAGGAAGACCUUUCUCUCUGUCUCUCUCUCUCACUGUCCACUCUGCCUGUCAAAAAAAAAAAAAAAACAUACAGGGGCCGGUGCUGUGGCGCAAUAGGUUAAUCCCCCAUCUGCGUCGCCAGCAUCCCAUAUGGGUGCCAGUUCGAGUCCCGGGUGUUCCACUUCCGACCCAGCUCUCUGCUAAUGGCCUGGGAAAGCAGUGGAAGAUGGCUCAAGUUCUUGGGCCCCUGCACCCAUGCGGGAGUCCGGAAGAAGAUUCUGGCUCCUGACUUUGGAUCGGCACUGCUCUGACUGUUGCAGCCAUUUGGGGACUGAACCAGUGGAUGGAAAACCUUUCUCUCUGUCUCUCUCUUUCACUGUCUGUAACUCUACCUCUCAAAAAAAUAAAGAAAAUCUUAAAAAAUACAUAUAACAUUCAUUGAUUAAGGUUGCCAGGUUGCAUGAUAUCACAAAACAAUUGCAACAAAUACUAACAUCAGAGCAGAGAUCACAGAUCAGCAUGAUAAAAUAAUGAAAAGCUUUAGAAUAUUGUGAGAUUAUCACAUGUGAUAGAGACCUAAAGUGAACCCCUGCUGAUGGGAGAAUGGUGCUCCUGGACACUUGAUGCAGGGUUGCCACAAGUCUUCAAUUUGUAGAAAUGAAGUAACUUCAAAGCAAUUACAAAGUGUGAUGUGGUAAACGAUAAGAGCCCAUAUAAAUAAACUAAACAAGGUUCCUAUGUAAAUAAACUAAAAACUAACUAGAAUUGAAAAGAAGGCGAGACUUCAACUCAGCCAAACACAGCUGGUCUUGUGCUUCCCAAGGGAAUAUUUGUUCCCAUUUUCUUUUGCUGAAAAUAAUUUCUCUGUUCUGUUUCUGUAUUCACCCUAUGAAAAGCUUCCCUUAGUGUCUUUUUGGAGGAUACCCAAGCUACUUUUGGUUUGAAGCUGCCCAAUUCACGAAUUUCUGCUCAAAGUCUGAAAAAUUUUAACAUGCCCAAAAUGUUAUGAAGAACCAAAGUGACUCCAUUUUUAAAACAAUAAAAAAGCAGGCUCCGUUUCCCAUAGCAGACCCGGGUCCUUGUAAAAGCAGGCAUUCAGGCAUUCCGGAGGUAUCAAAGCUCACCAGGGACAGCUAGCUCGGCAGACCAAGGACAGCACAGUAGAGAUCGCUGAACAAAGUAACUCCCUGUGCCCAGAGCUUCUAUGCUGCAUGUAACUGUUUUUUCCUGCUGAUGUAGCCCUUUUUUCCUUUAAAAACUCUCCCUAACAAACACCGGGGCCUCACUCCUUCCUCCGCUGUGUCGGUUGGUUGGAUGGGGUCCCUGUCGCGGCUUGUACUCCAGAAUAAACCUUGCUUUUGCAGUUUGGUGUGAUCGACGCUCUGGGGGUCUCUGCGGGGAUCCACAUAUUUUUUGGUGCCCAACAGUUAUUUUUUAACAUCUCCAAGUUUGAAAGCAUCUAUUUCUAGGACUGCCUUUUUUUUUUUUUUUUUUUUGGACAGGCAGAGUGGACAGUGAGAGAGAAAGAGAGAAAGGUCUUCCUUUGCCGUUGGUUCACCCUCCAAUGGCCGCCGCGGCCGGCUCACCGCGCUGAUCCGAUGGCAGGAGCCGGGUACUUCCUCCUGGUCUCCCAUGCAGGUGCAGGGCCCAAGCACCUGGGCCAUCCUCCACUGCCUUCCUGGGCCACAGCAGAGAGCUGGCCUGGAAGAGGGGCAACCGGGACAGAAUCCAGCGCCCCGACCGGGACUCGAACCCGGGGUGCCGGUGCCGCAAGGCGGAGGAUUAGCCUAGUGAGCCGCGGCACCGGCCAUAGGACUGCCUUUUAAUUUAAUUUGUAUUUAUUGAUUUGUUGGGGAGAGAGUGAGCCACAGCAAUUUCUAUCCAGCGGUUCACUCCCCCAAAUGCCCACAAAGGUGUGGAGUCCAGUAGAACCAGCACCUGGAACUCAUCCAGGUCAGGCACUUGGGAGGCAGGGAGGCAGCCCCUUAAGCCAUGGGCGGGAACCUGGACUUGGGCACCGGAGCCAGUCGUCAGCCCUGGCAACUCGGAGGUGUUGGCACCUUACUAUGCAGGCGUCUUAACCAGCAGACCUUUAAAAACUUGAAUGUCAGAAUAGUUUUACUGAAAAGUUGCGAAUGUAGCGCCUUUCGCCCCCAGUUCCCCUGUUAGCCUCAUCUUCUUGCUAUGCUGCAUUUGUACAAGGGAGCUGUGGACACUCAGGGCAGCGUCGGCUAAGCUCCGCCUUUUAUUUAGGGUGCCCUGCUCCCCCCACUUUCUCCUCUAGGAAUACACUGCGUUUAGGUGUUGCGUCUCCAGUUUCCUCUGGUUUACGACAAGCCUGUAGAUUUUAUUUUGUAGCGACGGAAAAGCGUGUUUUAGGAACGCUGGGCAGGUGUCGCGCGGUUUGCUUUCUCGCGGAAGCACCGGGGCUCCGGGGCGAACCCGGGCCAUCAAGGCGGUUCACGGUGCCCGCGGUGCCCUGGCCGUGCUGGCCAGGCUCCUGCGACCCCUUCAAAGCUCACUCUUCGGAAUCGAGUCCGCAAGCACAGCCCCGAGCGUGGCGGGGAGGGAGGGCGGACGCUGAAUUUUGUCGGAAACAGAGAAAUUCAGCGUCCCGUAAGGCCGGCUCCGGGAGGAGGCAGAAACGGCGAGGUGGAGCGGGCCUGGUCCUGGCCGGUCCCGCCAGGCGGGAAGGCGCGGGGGAGGGCGUAGGGAACCCGGGACGCGGGGCCGGGUACCAGCGAGGGCUCGCGGCCCACAGCACUCGCGGUCCCGCCUCGGCGAGCCUGAGGGAACUGCGCCUGCGCCGCGGGACGCUCCGCCCCGCCCACCGCCGACGCCAUGUUUGAGGCCGUUUCCGGCGCUGAGGGGAACCGGAAGGGCUUCCGUUGCCGAGGUGACGGGAGUGCGGCCGGCUGCGAGGUUCCCUCAGUUUGUAGUUCUUGCGUGGGAGAAAGAUGUGAGUGAGACGGCAGGUUGGGCAGUCCCGGCGGUGUUCUGUGCGCCGCAGUACAGUCGCCUCCCUUCCAAGUCGUGCAUUUAGCGAGUCCCGCCCCGGCGCGCUGGGCUAGAGGCUAAAACAUCCGCAAAUUUCCGACUCUUACUGAACAAAUCCACCAACAAGAUCAGUAAUUAAUCUAUUACCCGUGAUACUAUUAACAGAUUUUAUGUUUUGUGUACCUACUGAGCAAAACCACCCACAAAAACCAGGAAUCACAAGAAAAUCUUUAACCUAGAAGAAGAGGUCUUUAAGUAAGAAGCAACAAUGGCUUAUGGAAGACACAGACACACACAAUAAGUUCACGUUGCUGCCUCUCCUGUAACUGCUUCUUGUCCUGCGUGAUCUCCAUUAGCAGGUCUGUGAAUCCAUCAGUGUCCUUAUCAGUUUUUGGAAAGGUUAGUGUGUUCACUGAGCUUUAGUCAGACAACUGUAUUUGCAAACAUUUGUUUGUAGUCUCCUUUGAUUGUGUUUUCAGAGAAGAACCACAACUGUGGAUGACUAAAGAUGUGAAAGCAUCAUGAUUAAAACUUGGAUAGAAUUUGGCAAACAGUUCAAAAGCACAGGAGAGUUUUGCGACCUUUCUGUCCUUCAGGUAGGGGCCUGUGGUGGGAGGGGCACUUGUGAAAGCGUCCCAGAGCCCCCAGGUCUUUGUUAUUACUAAGCUCACAAUCAUGCCUGACGACAUCGAAUCAGAACCAGCAGGCCUGUAUGAAAGUCCAAGAACACUAGAAUAGUGUAUCAGCAAUGCACCUAUAGCAAUGCGACAUGGCAUUUGUUUGUUCUAUAACUUGAGAGUACUUUCUGUGCAAUCCACCUGAGCCUCAUCUGCUUGAUCUCUGUAGGGUGAGAACUGCAUCCAUGAAGUCUCUCGGGGGCCCAGCUGCAAAUCCCAAGCUCAGAGACCUUAAUUUGAAACUUUGAUUGAGAAAGCCUGACUACAAUAUCCAAAGUUUCCAAACGCUUGGUCAAAAACAGGAUCCCUGACCCCUGUGAGAAACACUCAUCAUCCAUUCAGCCAGGGUGAUUUCACCUGAGUUACAGACCAGAGUAAAUUGCAGCAACAAAAUACAAAAUCUUUUCCCCCUUUUGGUCCCUCACCAACAGAGGCCAUGGUAAGACCUGGACUAGAAGCAUGAGUGUAAGAAACUGUCUCACUGUUUGGAACAAUGUAAAGACAUCAGGAAAGACCAGAGGUAAAGAAUGAAAUGGUCCUGUUCUCCUAGGUUCCAAGACAAACAUUUUUAGUGUCCGUUUCUAGCAGGGUGAGAACCAGGGAGGAGAAACAGCUCACAGGCGCUGCCCAGAGAGUCAAGGGCGUCCCAAGUACACAGACACUGUGGAAAUCAGAAGCUGCAGUUUAGAUUAGAGAACAGAUUUUACAAUUAAAGAUCAAGGCAUCUUGUAAUACAUAUUAAUAUGUCUACAUCUUAAGAAAACCUGAUUCCUUUAGUGUAGGGGGCCAAAUUUUGGUUAACGUUAGAACAUUGUUAAUGGCACAGUUUUCAGAAACUUAUAUAUGGGAUUUUAUUUUCAUCUGAGCCAAAUUAAUCUCAUAGAUGCAUGUUUCAUACAUUUUCUAAAACACUUCUUUAAUUGUUCAGUAUAUGUCUUACUUUUUUUUCCUAGUAUUACACCAGCCAUGUGGUUUCUGGUCAAAUGUUUAUUUAUUUAAAACAUAUCUCUCAAAUCUCACAUAUUUACCUAUUAAAAACAUAAUUUUUUUUUGACAGGCAGAGUGUAUAGUGAGAGAGACAGAGAGAAAGGUCUUCCUUUGCCGUUGGUUCACCCGCCAAUGGCUGCCACAGCGCCGCUGCGCCUGGCACACCGCGCUGAUCCGAAGGCAGUAGCCAGGUGCUUCUCCUGGUCUCCCAUGGGGUGCAGGGCCAUCCUCCUCUGCACUCCCAGGCCACAGCAAAGAGCUGGCCUGGAAGAGGGGCAACCGGGACAGAAUCCAGCGCCCCGACCGGGACUAGAACCCGGUGUGCCGGCGCUGCAAGGAGGAGGAUUAGCCUGUUGAGCCGCGGUGCUGGCCAAAAAUAUAAUUUUAUACUUAGAAUUUUUACUUUUUUCUACUUAUUUGUUUUUUAUUUAUACUUAGAAGCAUUUAACUUGCUUAAAUUUAUCUAUUGUUGGGGAUCGGCGCUGUGGCGCAGCAAGUUAAUGCCCUGGCCUGAAGCACUGGCAUCCCAUAUGGGGGCUGGUUCUCGUUCUGGCUGCUCCUCUUCUCAUCCAGCUCUGCUGUGGCCUGGGAAAGCAGUAGAAGAUGGCCCAAGUCCUUGGGCCCCUGCACCCAUGUGGGAGACCCAGAAGAGGCACCUGGCUUCAGAUCAGUGUAGCUCCAGCCACUGUAGCCAUCUAGGGAGUGAGCCAGCGGAUGGGAGAUCUCUCUCUCUGUCUUUACCUCAAUCUGUAACUCUGUCUUUCAAAUAAAUAAAAUAAAUAUUUUAAAAAGCAAAUUUAUCUAUUGUUAAUAAUCAUACAUGGAUUACUUACGAAGACUGAGAUACUUAAACAGAUACAGUCAUUGUAGCAUGAGAAUGGCAGGGCCCUUGUCUUCACGCAAGAAAGAAUUCAGGUGUGAGACAGAGAGUAGUGGAAAGCAAAAUAGCAAGCUUUAUUAGGGCAGGGAUAUCUAUAAGAACGGAUGGGCACCUCUCCACACAGAACCUGAGAGAGAGUGCCCAGUCGCUCAGACUGGGGGAGAGUGAGGCUACUUGGCUGAGUGGAGAGUACACCUGGGCAGGCCAGGCGGGCGACUCAGCAGAGAGGCAGAGGGCUGAGUGCGCAGUCCAGUUGAGGCCAGGGGUUUUUAAGGGGAUGGGCCUUGCCUUCCCCUCUUCUCCUACUGGAACAAAGGACUUUUUGGAUGUAAAUACUAAAAAUUCCUUUCUGAGUUUUCCCCGCUGAAGUUAUCAGACAGGAGGAAGACUGGCUGAGCCUUGGCUGUUGCAGGCAUUUGGGGAAUGAACCAGAGGAUAAAAGUUAUCUCUAUUUCUGUCUUUCUCAAUCUCUCUCUCUCUCUCUCAAAUCAAUAAAUAAGCAAUAAAAACAUGGUUCAAUGAUUAAUCUUUAAAUAUUGCUAAAACAUUGCUAUGUCUGUCCGAUGACCAUCUGACAAAAACAGGAGGCUCUGCCACACACGGAGACCAGUGACCGCCAUCAUGACCACAGAUAAACAGCACUGUGCUGUAGGUCAGUGACGUCUCUGAUCAUAGGCUGAAGUAUGGCCAAAACGUGGGGCUGAAAAACAGGGAUUGAAGAAGAUACAGAGAUAUCUUGCCACGUAGGUGAACAACAAUGAAAACAGAAUGCAUACAAAGCAAGAUAGAGUGUUCAGAUGCAAACAGUUGGAGCAACAACUGUCUUGGAAGAUUGCUAUGAUUUAGGAAGAUAAGAUUGCAGAGAUUUGUUCAUUGCAGAGCGUGUCAGCAGCUCUCCCCCAUGACUAGUACUAACCAGCUAGAGAACGGAUCUCAGUCUAAAUUUUGCCUGAUAGCACCUGCCUACUCACCACGCGGGCAUUAGACUCAGUGUCAAGACCACGCGGGCAUCUGUUGGACAGAGUUUAUUCAACCAAUGGCCUCCUUGCCCAGCAAGUCUCUAUACAAUUUUUGAUGCCUUUUUAAGAGAUUGAUUUAUUUGUAUGAAAUUCAGUUAUGGAAGAAGUGGAAGAGACAGAUAUAAAGAGCAUUUCCCCCCAUUGGUUCAUUCCCCCAACUGGCCACAAGGGCAAGGGCUGGGCCAGGCUGACGUCAGAGGCCUGAAACUCUGUCUGGGUCUCCCAUGGGGGUGGCAGGGGCUCAAGGGGUUUGGCCAUCUUCUCUGCUUUCCCAAGUGCAUUAGCAUGAAGUUGGAUCAGAAGUGGAGCAGCCGGGACUUGAACCAGUACUCAGAGGCACUGCUAUCGUCAUAGGAGGCAGCUUAACCCGCUGUACAAAACACUGACCCUUGUAUUUUUUUUAAUAAUCAGAUUUUUUGUUGUUCUCAUAGGUAUUAGAUAGUUCAUUGGAGCAUACUCAGGAAGCAGUUAUGAGGCAUUUGUACCCUUGAACUUGCUGUUUCUCCUUACAGUUCAUAGCCAAUGAUUCUGAGAUGAUGAACAUAGGAAGGGAGAAGUUUCCUCAAGUGACAGAUUCCCACCAUUCUCCAAUGCCAUGAGAUCCUGCUCUGCAAGCCCAAACUGAGCACAAGGCAGCACCGCAGCAUCAGUGGGGAGGUGGGUUGCAUUCUAAACUAGUGCUGGAGGAAGAGGUGAAACUGCGGGAUUAUAAUUCACUGCUGCACAACCAGUCAAUAGGACACGGGAGACUAAGUCAGUCUAACCAGCAUUUGAAAAACUUGGCUGUGACAUCAAGAAGUAGCCCUUGAGGUCACAGCUAUGCGGGUCCCCAUUUACUUCAGAUUUGAUUUCCUACGCUGGGUUCAGAAAGGUGACCUUCAAAAUCCACCUGGCGUGUCUGGUCGGAUGUAGAUUCUUGCAGACUCGAGAUCUUAGACUGCCUCCUGGAUGUGUGCCUCUGUGUGGAUCUUCUGAUGCUCUUGCUGGUAUGUCAGGAGGCAGAAGGGAGACAGGAAAAGGCACAAGUCAGAGCCUGUUUUGUGGUUUCUGCUGGAAAGAGUAGGUGAGGCAGGGUAAGGGAUGUAGAGCAAGUGUAGGAUUUAGAAUUUUAUCAGAGGGCUUUGGGCUAUCAGGGUGGUCCUGAGAGGUCCAGUAGCUGGCCCUGGAGUGAUUUGGGGCAAGGGAACCACUGGCUGGUUGAGUGGGGUUUGAUAAGUGGGUGGUCGGGAAUAUGAGCUCCUGCUUAGUUGGUUUAGGUAUCAAAGUGUGUGUGCAUGCAAAGGAAUUUGCUAUCUCCAGGAAUUCACCGACUCUGGAAGGGGCAUUCUGUCUCCAGCCAGCAGGCUCCCAGGAUGUCAAAACGUUCUAAAUUGCCAUGGUCCCAGCCUACCGUUUUCCAUAUUCAUGAUACGUGAAAGCAAUAAGCUAUCAAUAGAAUCAGAACUACAACUUCUAAAUUCUGAAUUUUGAUCUGUCCUGUAUGUACGUGCUUCAAUGCUCCCUCGAGAAGCUGGGCAGAGGCAGGGAGCCCGGGCCCUAUUCAACCACACCAGCGUGAGCAUGAACAAGCGACACGCUACAGUGUGAUAUGUUGCCAAGCUGUCUUCUCUCAGGUGCCAUCUCAAGUCCCAGACUCCAUCUUGCACAGUAAGCCCAGCCUGGCUUACUAGGAGUCAGGUGACCAAAUGGCCCAACCACAAGCGUCAGCUCCACCCCCACCCUAACGGGAGUUGCCCCUCCCAAGUCCCUGCAAGUGGAAAGCUGUAGAAAACCUGUUCUCCCAGUACAGGCUGCUGCUCUCUCUGUGCACGGGGAGGCAGCCUGUAGGGUUUCCCCGACCCGACAAUAAACCUUUUCCUUACCCUGGUGUUGGGUGUGUUUUGUGAUGACCUUUCAACCCCUCCAUCCUCUAGCUUGUACCCAGGCCACAUGAGCCGAGUUAAAUCUUUUAAAGUAGGGAUUCCAUUUGUUAGGUAGGAAGUCAGAAAUGAGCUUAUGUGUGUGUGACAAAGCCCUAAGGAAUUGACAUCUACAGUGGUCCAGCAUCCGCAACUCAAAGCCAUCCCGAUAACCUUCCUGGUCAGCCCAGUAUCUGCACCUCAAACGUCCUGCCCGGAUCCUGAUGCCCCUUCUACCUGGCCUGAUAACCAUCCUUCCUCUAAGGCGGGGCAAUGACAGCCAGGCUACCCCUGUCUGAUAACUUCAGGGGGAAAUACUCAGCAAGGAAUUUUUUGUAUUUACAUCCAACAAGUCCUUUGUUCAGGAGGAGAAGGAGAGGGGGAGGGAAAAGGUGGGAAGGCAAGACCCAUCCCCUUAAAAACCCCAGUCUAAAUGUGAACCACACACUCUCUCAGGUUCUGUCUGGAGAGGUGCCCAUCUGUUCUUAACAGCUGUCCCUACCCUGAUGCACCUGGCUAU